UGGGGAAUUUUCCGCAAUGGGCGCAAGCCUGACGGAGCAACGCCGCGUGAGGGAGGAAUGUCUGUGGAUUGUAAACCUCUUUUCUCUAGGAAGAAGCACUGACGGUACUAGAGGAAUCAGCAUCGGCUAACUCCGUGCCAGCAGCCGCGGUAAGACGGAGGAUGCAAGCGUUAUCCGGAAUUAUUGGGCGUAAAGCGUCCGUAGGCGGCUUUUUAAGUCAGUUGUUAAAGACUGCAGCUCAACUGUGGGAGAGCAACUGAAACUGGGAAGCUAGAGUAUGGUAGGGGUAGAGGGAAUUCCUAGUGUAGCGGUGAAAUGCGUAGAUAUUAGGAAGAACACCAGUGGCGAAGGCGCUCUACUGGGCCAAGACUGACGCUGAUGGACGAAAGCUAGGGGAGCGAAAGGGAUUAGAUACCCCCGUAGUCC
rnacentral:rRNA from 1 species